CUCAGGACGAACGCUGGCGGCGUGCCUAAUACAUGCAAGUCGAGCGGACAGAAGGGAGCUUGCUCCCGGAUGUUAGCGGCGGACGGGUGAGUAACACGUGGGUAACCUGCCUGUAAGACUGGGAUAACUCCGGGAAACCGGAGCUAAUACCGGAUAGUUCCUUGAACCGCAUGGUUCAAGGAUGAAAGACGGUUUCGGCUGUCACUUACAGAUGGACCCGCGGCGCAUUAGCUAGUUGGUGAGGUAACGGCUCACCAAGGCGACGAUGCGUAGCCGACCUGAGAGGGUGAUCGGCCACACUGGGACUGAGACACGGCCCAGACUCCUACGGGAGGCAGCAGUAGGGAAUCUUCCGCAAUGGACGAAAGUCUGACGGAGCAACGCCGCGUGAGUGAUGAAGGUUUUCGGAUCGUAAAGCUCUGUUGUUAGGGAAGAACAAGUGCAAGAGUAACUGCUUGCACCUUGACGGUACCUAACCAGAAAGCCACGGCUAACUACGUGCCAGCAGCCGCGGUAAUACGUAGGUGGCAAGCGUUGUCCGGAAUUAUUGGGCGUAAAGGGCUCGCAGGCGGUUUCUUAAGUCUGAUGUGAAAGCCCCCGGCUCAACCGGGGAGGGUCAUUGGAAACUGGGAAACUUGAGUGCAGAAGAGGAGAGUGGAAUUCCACGUGUAGCGGUGAAAUGCGUAGAGAUGUGGAGGAACACCAGUGGCGAAGGCGACUCUCUGGUCUGUAACUGACGCUGAGGAGCGAAAGCGUGGGGAGCGAACAGGAUUAGAUACCCUGGUAGUCCACGCCGUAAACGAUGAGUGCUAAGUGUUA
rnacentral:rRNA from 1 species